rnacentral:lncRNA from 13 species
GGCUUGGGGCCACAUCGUGGGAUGGGAGAGUGGCUGUGAUGGCAGUGAUGAGUCAUGAGCUUAUGGUCGGGAGUCCAGACCCUGUCCCUUGAUUAGCUGUGUGACCUUUCAUAUGUCACAUAAUCCCUGUGGGGGUUGGGCUUCACAGCCAUUAAAUGGGUUUAAUACCCAGGAACCUGACUACCUUGAGGUGGUCAUAGGUCAGGCCUGCAGCUCCAGACUUGGGGUGUUCUGCUUGGGCAGCCACCAGGGAAGACUACUUGGGGAGAAGGAGGCAGUGCCUUGGGGUUAAGAAGAUGGUGCUCCUCCCUCAGGGUAACGGGAGGGGGAGUUCUUGAAUGUCCUGGGGUAUCCAGGUCAGGAGAGAAGAGGACAUGACCUGAGCCUCAGCAGGUAGUGGUGAGUUUCAGGCUGCUGAGGCUGUGGCAGAGGGAGUGUUCCGUUCUCUGCCCCACCCCUUUGAAAUACCAGGAGCAGAGCUGACACAGGCUGAAAGGGAAACUCCUAGUUGUGAUGCAGCCAAGAGCCUGUCAGCUUCUGUAGGGGAUUUUCCUUACCCUGAGUGUAUAGAGAGGUGAUGACCACUAGCAGCUGAGAAACCAUAUAGCCGCCUGCGCAGCUGAACAGGCCAGCAGGCAGCCUGCCAUGGAGUCCCACUCCAAGAACUGGUUCUUCUGCUGGGCCUCUGAGCUCCUGGUAUUCAUCAGCCUCUUCCUCAGUGUCUGCAGCACUGAAGCCUACAUUUCUGAAGCACAUGGCUCUGUCUUGGAUGAUUCUAGAAAACCCACUCAUCUGAAGGGGAUCCGAGGUGGUUCUGUCUUGUUUAAUGUGAUCGAGAAGCUCAGAGUAGUUGUAGGAGCCGAGCUGCAGGAGGUUUCAUGGGGUUUAGGCACUGCAAUAAAUCACACACAGGUGCUGGAAAUCCACAGGGGAGCCGACUCUCCAACCUGGUUGAGCCUCCAGGACAAGUUCAAGCAGAGGGUCCAUGUGCCCAGCAUGUGGUCUCUGAGGAUUGAGAACCUGGCCCCUGAAGACAGUGGGCAGUACGUGGCCAUGAUCCACUCAACUCAGGGAAGAACAUAUGCCCAGGUUUUCUACCUCACUGUCUAUGAGCCUGUGCCUCAUCCUGGAAUCCUGGCCAAGUUACUCUCUAUCACACCAGGCUUGUGUAACAUAACCCUGCAGUGCAGAGCUCCAGGGGCCACCGAGGACCUGAAAGUGACCUGGGAGAGCAAGGGCCUCCUCAGAGAGCUGGAGCAGAGAGAAACACCAAGACCCGCCCUGAACCCCUGGACCCUGGCUGUGAGCCUGCCCCUGUGCCAGUGCAACACCCACCUCACCUGUGUGGUCAGCAACCAGGUGGAUAAGAAAGCUGCAAUCUUAGAUCUUAGGGAAGUGUGUGUCCAAGAAACAGAUCCACACAAACAGGACACGGUUAGACUGCUGCCAGGCCUCCUAGGGGAUGUUGUGGGUGUGAUGUUGGUCCUGGGAACUGGGCUGUAUCUUUUGAAGACAUGUAAGAAGAAAAAGAAGAUGAAGAUAAGAAGAGGUGGAGAACUGCAGGAGAACCAUGGGGUGGAUGAUGAUGCCAACCACUAUGAAGAUCUCAGGCUGCCAGUGUCUCAGAAGGACAAGGACAAGGGCAUUGGUGAACAAUAUCUGGAAAAAGAGGAGCCGCUCACUGCUGUCUACAGUGAGGUUCAUUAUCACUGUCCAGGCACGGCCAUUAAGAUCAUUCGAAUGGAGGAAGCAAAAGGAUCUGGCACUCCCAGGACACCUACACUCUGAGCCUGAAGCCUGCACACCUCUGCCUUUCUUAGUGCUGGUCCAGUUUGAGCUGCCCCUUGUCUGUACGCUGAUCUCACAGCCAUAGUUCUACAGUGUACCCAUGACCUGUUCACAUUCUGAGACACCUCCCCAAGAUGCACUCACAGUUGGGCAAAGAUUCUUUCCCUAUCAUUGACAUGGUUCCUGACCCCUCUCCUCCAAGAACCUUCCCAAGGGGGCCCUGUCUGACUGAGCAGGUGGAAAAUCCCAGCCACCUCUGCCGUGUCACUGGUGUGUGUACUUCUGAGGACACAAGCCCAGGCGUGGGAACGGUGCAGAGAGGAGGGAGGUAGGACUUGGCUUCUGGAUGCUGAGUUGGAGGACAGCAUGGGUGGGUAGGAGCCCACAAAGGAACAGGCUGAGGCUUUCUCUGCAGAUUUUAUAUAGGGCUCCCUUGGGGGCAUCAGGCAGUGUGUGUGUACAUGAAUGUUGGGGCAGGUGUCUAGUACAUAUGAUACAACUGAACUAAAGCCACCUUUCUUUUCUCCUGUGCUAAUCUGAACCUAAUCUUCAGUCUUAGCCUGUGGAUCCAAACUCAACUUCCUAUAGAGUAGAAAGAGAAAUUUGUGUUAUCUCAAAAGCUUCCUAGCCUCUGUGUCUCAGAGAAUGACCCUAACAGGCCACAGUUUGGGGUUGUCUUAGGAAAACAGCUUCAGCUCUUUCCUUUGCCUAGGAUAGAGCACUUAGCUAUAAGAACAGAGCUGUGGUAUUCUUCCACGCCCCCUUGGAGAGGACUACUUGGGCUCUGAUGGGUGAAGCUGUUGAGAAGGUCUGACCCAGCCCUCUCCAGCCUCUUCUUAUUCUGACCCUCCGUGCCCCAGUAGCUAUGCUGGCCCCAAACCCUAGGUCAUCCACUUCUUUGCUAACUUGCAUCCCUCUGCCCGAAAUGAAAUUUCCCUCUCCCUGUUUCUCACCCUCACUUCCACCUGCUGAAAUCCACUGUGCUACUCAAAGCCCUUCC